rnacentral:rRNA from 1 species
CAUGCAAGUCGAACGGCAGCACGGGAGCAAUCCUGGUGGCGAGUGGCGAACGGGUGAGUAAUAUAUCGGAACGUGCCCAGUCGUGGGGGAUAACGUAGCGAAAGCUACGCUAAUACCGCAUACGAUCUACGGAUGAAAGCGGGGGAUCGCAAGACCUCGCGCGAUUGGAGCGGCCGAUAUCAGAUUAGGUAGUUGGUGAGGUAAAGGCUCACCAAGCCGACGAUCUGUAGCUGGUCUGAGAGGACGACCAGCCACACUGGGACUGAGACACGGCCCAGACUCCUACGGGAGGCAGCAGUGGGGAAUUUUGGACAAUGGGCGCAAGCCUGAUCCAGCAAUGCCGCGUGCAGGAUGAAGGCCUUCGGGUUGUAAACUGCUUUUGUACGGAACGAAACGGUGAGCUCUAAUACAGUUUGCUAAUGACGGUACCGUAAGAAUAAGCACCGGCUAACUACGUG